CAGGAGUAGCAGCAGCAACAUCAGUAGCAGUAACAGCAGCAACCAACAGGAGUCAGCAAUGACACCACCGACUGUGGCUAACAGAAGCAGCAAAAUCACAGGACCGCGAAAUGGUGUACUCAAAUGCACCGAAAUACGCAUCGGUGCAAAUACCCUGCUUGUGCGAAUUGCGGCUAAUCUAACAGCGACACCGCCAAUUGUAACGCAAUAUAAAAUGGCGCUGAUGGUGGUAGUGGUGGCAGUGGUAGAGAGUUGGUCGUGGUAGUAGUGGUUGCCAAUGAAUGUGUAGACCAACGCCCGGACGCGUGGUCAAACGCGCUGCAGCGAUCAUCGGAUCAGCUUAAUCAAAUAAAGAGAACGUGGGCUCUGCACAAUAUCAAAUGGAUCCCGAACUUGCGGUACUACAAAUCGAAUACCAAGACGAUUCACGAUUGGUCCUGCAGAAAGCUUAGUCAGCGGAAUAAAGUGAUCAUGAUUUAUGAUUUUUCCAGAUGAAAACUUUUGUCAUUUAAAAUAUAUAAAACAAAUAAAAUUCUUAUUCGA
rnacentral:lncRNA from 1 species